rnacentral:rRNA from 1 species
AGAGUUUGAUCCUGGCUCAGGAUGAACGCUGGCGGCGUGCCUAACACAUGCAAGUCGAACGGGGUAUAUAAGCGGAAGUUUACGGAUGGAAGGUUAUAUACUUAGUGGCGGACGGGUGAGUAACGCGUGGGCAACCUGCCCCGUGCCGGGGGAUACCGCCUGGAAACAGGCGCUAAUACCGCAUAAGCGCAUACAGCCGCAUGGGUGUAUGCGGAAAGCUCCGGCGGCACGGGAUGGGCCCGCGCCCGAUUAGCCAGUUGGCGGGGUAACGGCCCACCAAAGCGACGAUCGGUAGCCGGCCUGAGAGGGCGGACGGCCACAUUGGGACUGAGACACGGCCCAAACUCCUACGGGAGGCAGCAGUGGGGAAUAUUGCACAAUGGAGGAAACCCUGAUGCAGCAACGCCGCGUGGGUGAAGGAGCGUUUCGGCGCGUAAAGCCCUGUCAGCGGGGAAGAAGAAAGACGGUACCCGACCAAGAAGCCCCGGCUAACUACGUGCCAGCAGCCGCGGUAAUACGUAGGGGGCGAGCGUUAUCCGGAAUUACUGGGUGUAAAGGGAGCGUAGACGGCGAGGUAAGCCUGAAGUGGAAGCCCGCGGCCCAACCGCGGAACUGCUUUGGGAACUGUUUUGCUGGAGUAUGGGAGGGGUAAGCGGAAUUCCUGGUGUAGCGGUGAAAUGCGUAGAUAUCAGGAGGAACACCGGUGGCGAAGGCGGCUUACUGGACCAUAACUGACGUUGAGGCUCGAAAGCGUGGGGAGCGAACAGGAUUAGAUACCCUGGUAGUCCACGCCGUAAACGAUGAUUCCCAGGCGUCGGGUGUUGAAGGACGCCCGGUCGGCAGCGGACGCAGUAAGUAAUCCACCUGGGGAGUACGUUAGCAAGAAUGAAACUCAAAGGAAUUGACGGGGACCCGCACAAGCGGUGGAGCAUGUGGUUUAAUUCGAAGCUACGAGAAGAACCUUACCAGGUCUUGACAUCUUGCGCUAACCUUAGAGAUAAGGCGUUCCCUUCGGGGACGCAAUGACAGGUGGUGCAUGGUCGUCGUCAGCUCGUGUCGUGAGAUGUUGGGUUAAGUCCCGCAACGAGCGCAACCCUUGUUACUAGUUGCCAGCAUUAAGUUGAGCACUCUAGUGAGACUGCCGGUGACAAACCGGAGGAAGGUGGGGACGACGUCAGAUCAUCAUGCCCCUUAUGACCUGGGCUACACACGUGCUACAAUGGACGGUACAACGAGUCGCAAGCUCGCGAGAGUAAGCUAAUCUCUUAAAGCCGUUCUCAGAAAGGACUGUAGGCUGUAACUCGCCUACACGAAGUCGGAAUCGCUAGUAAUCGCGGAUCAGCAUGCCGCGCCGAAAAGGUUCCCGGGCCUUGU